GACGAACGCUGGCGACGCGCUUAACACAUGCUAGUCGAACGAAGUGGCGAACGGGUGAGUAAUACGUUGGUUACCUGCCCUCAUUUUUGGGAUAAGCCUUGGAAACGGGGUCUAAUACCGAACAAAGGGGGAUGGUCGCGCGGCCUAUCAGCUUGUUGGUGGGGGGAUGGCCUACCAAGGCGGUGACGGGUAGCCGGCCUGAGAGGGUGACCGGCCAGAUUGGGCCUAAGAUACUGCCCAGACUCCGACGGGGGGCAGCAGUGGGGGAUAUAAGACAAUGGGCGAAAGCGUGAGGCAGCGACGCCGCGUGGGGGAUCAAGACUUGCGGGUUGUAGACCUCUUUCGCUAUCGAACGGAUAGCUGGCGAAGAAGCGCCGGCUAACUACAUGCCAGCCGCCGCGGUAAUAC
rnacentral:rRNA from 1 species